GUUCAAAUGAGGAAGGGCUUACGAUGGAUACCUAGGAACCCAAAGAUGAGGAAGGGCAUGGUAAGCGAUGAAAUGCUUCGAGGAGUUGAAAAUGAGCAUAGAUCCGAAGAUUCUCGAAUAGGUUAACCUUUUUAACUGAUGCUUAAUCCAUGGGUAGGCAAGAGACAAGCUGGUGAACUGAAACAUAUUAGUAGCCAGAGGAAUAGAAAGAAAAAGAGAUUCCCAUAGUAGCAGCGAGAGAAAUGGGAGUAGCCUAAACCAUGAAAAUGGGGUUGUGGGAGAGCACAAUAUAAGCUCUGUACUACUAGGCAAAGCGGUUGAGUCCUGCACCCUAGAUGGUGAGAGUCCAGUAGCCAAAAGCAUCAUUGGGUUAUGCUCUAACACGAGUAGCAUGGGGCACAUGGAAUCCCAUGUGAAUCAGCAAGGACCACCUUGCAAGGCUAAAUACACCUGGGUGACCGAUAGCGAAGUAGUACCGUGAGGGAAAGAUGAAAAGAACCUGCAUCGGGGAGUGAAAUAGAACAUGAAACUGUAAGCUCCCAAGCAGUGGGAGGAAAAUGAUAUCUCUGACCACGUGCCUAUUGAAGAAUGAGUCGGCGACUUAUAGGCAGUGGCUUGGUUAAGGGAACCCAUCGGAGCCGUAGUGAGAGUGAGUCUUCAUCAAGAAAUUGUCACUUCUUAUGGACUCGAACCUGGGUGAUCUAUCCAUGACCAGGAUGAAGCUUGGGUGAAACUAAGUGGAGGUCCGAACCAACUGAUGUUGAAAAAUCAGCGGAUGAGUCGUGGUUAGGGGUGAAAUGCCACUCAAACCCAGAGCUAGUUGUUUCUCCCUGAAAUGCAUUGAGGUGCAGCAGUUGACUAGACCAUCUAGGGGUAAAUCACUGUUUCGGUACAGGUUGAGAGAGAGAUACCAAAUCGAGGCAAACUCUGAAUACUAGAUUGCCCCAAUAAAAGGGGUAAAGUUCAUAUAGUGAGACGAUGGGGGAUAAGCUUCAUCGUCGAGAGGGAAACAACCCAGAUCAUUAGCUAAGGCCCCUAAAUGACCACUCAGUGAUGAAGGAAGUACGAGUGCAAAGACAACCAGGAGGUUUUCCUAGAAGCAUCGAACCUUGAAAGAGUGCGUAAUAGCUCACUGAUAGAGCACUCUUGUACUGAAGAUGAAUGGGACUAAGAAAUCUGCUGAAGCUGUGGGAUGUAAAAAUACAUAGGUAGGGGAGCGUUCCACCUUAGAGGGAAGCACCGAUGUGAGCAGGUGUGGAUGAAGUGGAAGAGAGAAUGUUGGCUUGAGUAAUGCAAACAUUGGUGAGAAUCCAAUGCCCCGAAAACCUAAGGGUUCCUCCGCAAGGUUCAUCCACGAAGGGUGAUUCAGGGCCUAAGAACAGGCCAAAAGGCAUAGUCGAUGGACAACAAGUUAAUAUUCGUGUACUCCCCCUUGUUGGUUUGGAGGGACAGAGGAGGCUAGGUUAGCCGAAAGAUGGUUAUCGGUUCAAGGACACAAGGUGACCCUCUAUACAUUGAUUCAAAGGUAAAAUAAGAAUAAAAUAUAGGUGUGUACAAGGUGAGGUUGGAGGUGGAUAUUCCUCAUCAUCUACUCUAACACACAAAAAUCCAAGAUGGCUUAUCCAAACAUUAUAGGAUGCACAAAAUCAUGUAGGAGCGCCCAUAUCAUCAAUGAGGAUGAGUAUACCUCCUAGGAGAUAUGUUAACCAUAUUUUAUUAGAUUCUUCCAUUUGUGAUCUUUACAGUUGUUUUGAGGAGGUGAUGUGUGAUACUUUGUUUGAUGAGUGUGAUGUUUGGGGGGUAGUUCCUUUCUGGGAUCCAGUGGUUGAUUAAGAGAUUGCAAUGUGUUCAAAUUUGUGGAAGGAAAGUUUGUUUGAGUUGCAAAGGGAGCAAAAUGACGUUGGUGAAAACACUUUCCUCAUAAAGAGGGUGUGUUUUCUUUCGAGGUUACUCUGAAAUUGUUUGAUUGAGUUGCAAAGGAAGCAUAAAUAUGUUGGUGAAAACACUUUCCUCAUAAAGAGGGAGUGUUUUCUUUCGAGGUUACUCCAAAAUUAAGUUACACCAUACUUAAGUAUGCUUCAUGUGAUGUGGGGUGCAUGGUGUAUUGAUAACCCUUAGUUGACGUGAUGGACAUACACAUUGGAGUUAGCUUUCCCAUUGAUUGUAAGACCUUGUCUUGAUGCAUAUGUGGCAUUAUUCCUUGGAUCAUUGGAGACCUACAUGGCUAGUGGCUUUCUUCAUGAGACAAAAAUGGAGUUCGAUUGCUUCCUUGGAAUGAUGGUUUUCCUUGGAGGAGGAUAAUUGGGCAUCUUGGAGGAGGGAAUUGAACCCUAGAUCACACAGGGACACUUGGUUUCUUACAUGGAGACUUGGCCUUGACUUGAGGACACUUGGGUUGAAAACCAAUCAUGUAAGUGUCAUUGAACUAGAGGUAUACAUGGCCUAAGAGGGAGUGUUGGAGAAUUGGAGACCUUUGGAGGAGGAGUGUUACACACACCUCGUGGAGCGUUCAACGUUCAAUCCUUG
rnacentral:ncRNA from 1 species